GAUGAACGCUGACAGAAUGCUUAACACAUGCAAGUCGAUUCAAGUUACCUUCGGGUAAUGAGGAUGGCGGACGGGUGAGUAACGCGUAAGGAACUUGCCUCUUGGUCUGGGACAACUGUUGGAAACGACAGCUAAUACCGGAUAUUAUGAGAUUCUCGCAUGGGAAACUUAUGAAAGCUAUAUGCGCCAAGAGAGAGCCUUGCGUUCCAUUAGCUAGUUGGUGGGGUAAUGGCCCACCAAGGCGACGAUGGAUAGCCGGCCUGAGAGGGUGAACGGCCACAAGGGGACUGAGACACGGCCCUUACUCCUACGGGAGGCAGCAGUGGGGAAUAUUGGACAAUGGGCCACAAGCCUGAUCCAGCAAUUCUGUGUGCACGAUGAAGGUCUUCGGAUUGUAAAGUGCUUUCAGUUGGGAAGAAGAAAGUGACGGUACCAACAGAAGAAGCGACGGCUAAAUACGUGCCAGCAGCCGCGGUAAUACGUAUGUCGCAAGCGUUAUCCGGAUUUAUUGGGCGUAAAGCGCGUCUAGGCGGAAAAAUAAGUCUGAUGUUAAAAUGCGGGGCUCAACUCCGUAUUGCGUUGGAAACUGUUUUUCUAGAGUACUGGAGAGGUGGGCGGAACUACAAGUGUAGAGGUGAAAUUCGUAGAUAUUUGUAGGAAUGCCGAUGGAGAAGUCAGCUCACUGGACAGANACUGACGCUGAAGCGCGAAAGCGUGGGGAGCAA
rnacentral:rRNA from 1 species